UAACACAACAAAAAUGGCUAGUACAAGGAAUCAGUUGUGUGGACCAAUAGUGAAGUCAAACUGCUGCUGCGACUCACACUCACACACACACGAGUAAAUUGCAAGAAAAUGUUGAAUGGGAGUCGUGAUAUAUAUAAAAUAUAUGGACUUGACGAACGUGUUUCGGGCACAUUGUCCGACGGAGGCAACAGAGGACUUCCCUCACGAGGCCACGGCACUUUCGAGAGCCCACAUGACCACGAAGCUAAACAUAUUAGUGGCAAAUACAGACGAGCCGUGGACACAGGACGUCGAAGUGGCCAAGGACGGGUGGUUAUGCUAUUUUAUGAGCUUUGCCAGAAGAUCUGGGGUGGGUCGCCCGCUACACGCUCUAUUAAUUCAAGCAUCGAGACAGGUGACCUGGUGGAGUUGUCGUCCCAGUCCUCAACACCGACAGAGGAGAUGCCUGCAUCACCAAAUUCAACAGAAUCCCUCGACUGACUUCCUCCUGCAGUUUUGAAGCAGCACCGGGAUAUGCUCCAGGCCAAGCUGGAUAGCCACAGAGGAGACCGACUAAAGAGGAAAGCUCAGGCUGACCCAGCAGAGGAGAAUCUGAAAAUCAAGAGGAGGAUGUUGGAGUUGACUGAGGAGUCAGCAAGAAGCCACACAGAGAAAAUUACACAGAUCAACACAAACAUUGCAAAUAUAACCAGCACCAUACAGGUUGGCUUUUCCCUGAUGAGGGAAUUGCUGAUCAGACCCCAGUUUGUACCCCCCCACAGCAGCAGCGGAAAAUUCCAUGGGUACCCGCUGUCAUAUGUUCAUUCAACACCACACCCCACUACACCAGCUUUUCAGCACACAGCUACACCCAAUAGGCCUGUAUACCAACCUGGACAAUACACACCUACACGCAGCCCAGAAAAUGAAAUGUUUUCAUUCAGAAGAGCACUGCUGCAAGACCAUGUGGAGGGAGCUUUAUGUUAUAUUUGCACAUUUUAAAAACUGUACUUUUUAAUUAAAGAAAGAUUUCUGAAA